UACGGAGGGGGCUAGCGUUGUUCGGAAUUAUUGGGCGUAAAGGGCGCGUAGGCGGCCGGCUAAGUCGGAUGUGAAAUCCCUCGGCUCAACCGAGGAACUGCACUCGAUACUGGUUGGCUAGAGUCCGGGAGGGGAUGGUGGAAUUCCCAGUGUAGCGGUGAAAUGCGUAGAUAUUGGGAAGAACACCGGUGGCGAAGGCGGCCAUCUGGACCGGAACUGACGCUGAGGCGCGAAAGCGUGGGGAGCAAACAGG
rnacentral:rRNA from 1 species